rnacentral:tmRNA from 1 species
GGGGGCGACACGGCUUCGACGGGGGUGGGGAGAUAAUAGCUGCGUGUCGAGGUGCCCAAUCACCUCGUAAAACAAUUGGGAAAAAACGCAACUGCGGACGAUAACACGU